rnacentral:rRNA from 1 species
UCAGCCUGGCGUUGGUUGUCCAGGUGGAAGGAUGUAGGUAUGUAUCUUAGGCAAAUCCGGGGUACUCUAUACUGAGAUCCGAUAGCAAGCUGUACUUGUACAGUGAAGUGGCUGAUACCAUGCUUCCAGGAAAAGUCUCUAAGCUUCAGUUACACAGGAAUCGUACCCGAAACCGACACAGGUGGUCAGGUCGAGUAGACCAAGGCGCUUGAGAGAACUCUGCUGAAGGAACUAGGCAAAAUGGUACCGUAACUUCGGGAGAAGGUACGCUGUUGUUGGUGAUGGAACUUGCUUCCUGAGCUGACGACAGCCGCAGAAACCAGGCCGCUGCAACUGUUUAUUAAAAACAUAGCACUCUGCAAACACGAAAGUGGACGUAUAGGGUGUGAUGCCUGCCCGGUGCUGGAAGGUUAAUUGAUGGGGUUAGCGUAAGCGAAGCUCUUGAUCGAAGCCCCAGUAAACGGCGGCCGUAACUAUAACGGUCCUAAGGUAGCGAAAUUCCUUGUCGGGUAAGUUCCGACCUGCACGAAUGGCAUAAUGAUGGCGGCGCUGUCUCCAGCAGAGGCUCAGUGAAAUCGAAAUCGCUGUGAAGAUGCAGUGUACCCGCGGCUAGACGGAAAGACCCCGUGAACCUUUACUGCAGCUUGACACUGAACUUUGACCUUACUUGUGUAGGAUAGGUGGGAGGCUUUGAAGUUGGAACGCUAGUUCCAAUGGAGCCGUCCUUGAAAUACCACCCUGGUAAUGUUGAGGUUCUAACUCUGUCCCGUUAUCCGGGACGAGGACCGUGUCUGGUGGGUAGUUUGACUGGGGCGGUCUCCUCCUAAAGAGUAACGGAGGAGUACGAAGGUGCGCUCAGCGUGGUCGGAAAUCACGCGUAGAGUAUAAAGGCAAAAGCGCGCUUAACUGCGAGACCCACAAGUCGAGCAGGUACGAAAGUAGGUCUUAGUGAUCCGGUGGUUCUGUAUGGAAGGGCCAUCGCUCAACGGAUAAAAGGUACUCUGGGGAUAACAGGCUGAUACCGCCCAAGAGUUCAUAUCGACGGCGGUGUUUGGCACCUCGAUGUCGGCUCAUCUCAUCCUGGGGCUGAAGCAGGUCCCAAGGGUAUGGCUGUUCGCCAUUUAAAGAGGUACGCGAGCUGGGUUUAGAACGUCGUGAGACAGUUCGGUCCCUAUCUACCGUGGGCGCUGGAAAUUUGAGAGGAUCUGCUCCUAGUACGAGAGGACCAGAGUGGACGAACCUCUGGUGUACCGGUUGUGACGCCAGUCGCAUCGCCGGGUAGCUAUGUUCGGAAGGGAUAACCGCUGAAAGCAUCUAAGCGGGAAGCCUACCUCAAGAUAAGAUUUCCCUAGGAAUUUAUUCCUCUAAAGAGCCGUUCGAGACUAGGACGUUGAUAGGUUGGAUGUGGAAGCAUAGUGAUAUGUGAAGCUGACCAAUACUAAUUGCUCGUGAGGCUUGACUAUACAACACCCAAGCAGUUG